rnacentral:rRNA from 1 species
AUUGAACGCUGGCGGGAUGCUUUACACAUGCAAGUCGAACGGUAGAGGGGGCAACCCCUCGAGAGUGGCGAACGGGUGAGUAAUAUAUCGGAACGUGCCCAGUCGUGGGGGAUAACGUAGCGAAAGUUACGCUAAUACCGCAUACGAUCUAAGGAUGAAAGCGGGGGAUCGCAAGACCUCGCGCGAUUGGAGCGGCCGAUAUCAGAUUAGGUAGUUGGUGGGGUAAAGGCCCACCAAGCCAACGAUCUGUAGCUGGUCUGAGAGGACGACCAGCCACACUGGAACUGAGACACGGUCCAGACUCCUACGGGAGGCAGCAGUGGGGAAUUUUGGACAAUGGGCGAAAGCCUGAUCCAGCCAUUCCGCGUGCAGGAUGAAGGCCCUCGGGUUGUAAACUGCUUUUGUACAGAACGAAAAGGUUUCAACUAAUACUAGGAGCUCAUGACGGUACUGUAAGAAUAAGCACCGGCUAACUACGUGCCAGCAGCCGCCGUAA